rnacentral:tRNA from 1 species
GGAGGAGUGUCCGAGCGGCCGAAGGAGCACGCUUGGAAAGCGUGUGUGCGCCACAAACGUACCGUGGGUUCGAAUCCCACCUCCUCCGUCA